GAAACGUGUUCAUGUUGCCAGUUGCAGUUGCCAGGUGAAAGGUUCAGCAAAAGAAUCGAGACAGAAAGGAUUAAGGUUGGAUAGUUGAGAGAAAAAAAAAAGUUAAACGACAACAAUGGGGAAAGAUCUUAGCGACGAUCAAGUUUCUUCUAUGAAAGAAGCGUUCACGCUUUUUGACACCGACGGCGACGGAAAGAUUGCUCCAUCGGAGCUCGGAAUCCUUAUGCGUUCUCUUGGCGGAAACCCUACCCAAGCUCAACUAAAGAGUAUAAUCGCUGAAGAAAAACUCACUUCUCCCUUCGAUUUCAAACGUUUCCUUGAGUUAAUGUCAAAGCAUCUCAAGCCUGAACCCUUCGAUCGGCAGCUCCGUGAUGCGUUCAAGGUCAUCGACAAGGACGGGACUGGAUAUGUUGUUGUUGCCGAUCUCAAGCACAUAUUAACGAGCAUUGGGGAAAAGCUUGAACCCGCGGAGUUUGAUGAGUGGAUCCGAGAGGUUGAUGUCGGAUCUGACGGGAAGAUCAAGUAUGAGGACUUCAUUGCGAGGAUGGUUGCUAAAUGAUUUGUUGUUGUGAUUGUGAUGUGAGUGGAGGUGGACUGAUUGAUUUUUCUGAUAUUAAGAAGCAGUGUUUUUGGUGUGUGAUGUGUCAGGCUUGGUUUUGAAAGACAUGCCUAUGAAGUUGUUGAUUGGCCCGUUGGAAGGUAUGUCAAUGUGUUCUUGGACAUGCCUAUGAAGUAACACUACAACCUUAAAUUCAUUAAGUGGACCAAGAAACUUAUAAGUAUGUUAGUGAUGAUGAAGUUGUUACAUGUGACAAUGUUGUUUUUGGAUGUUAGUAAAAAUGAUGGUACAAAUGUUGGUAAAAAUGCUAGUACAAAAGUUGAUGAAUA